GACGAACGCUGGCGGCGUGCUUAACACAUGCAAGUCGAACGGAAAGGCCCUGCUUUUGUGGGGUGCUCGAGUGGCGAACGGGUGAGUAACACGUGAGUAACCUGCCCUUGACUUUGGGAUAACUUCAGGAAACUGGGGUUAAUACCGGAUAGGAGCUCCUGCUGCAUGGUGGGGGUUGGAAAGUUUCGGCGGGUGGGGAUGGACUCGCGGCUUAUCAGCUUGUUGGUGGGGUAGUGGCUUACCCAGGCUUUGACGGGUAGCCGGCCUGAGAGGGUGACCGGCCACAUUGGGACUGAGAUACGGCCCAGACUCCUACGGGAGGCAGCAGUGGGGAAUAUUGCACAAUGGGCGGAAGCCUGAUGCAGCAACGCCGCGUGCGGGAUGACGGCCUUCGGGUUGUAAACCGCUUUCGCCUGUGACGAAGCGUGAGUGACGGUAAUGGGUAAAGAAGCACCGGCUAACUACGUG
rnacentral:rRNA from 1 species